rnacentral:rRNA from 1 species
GCUCAUUAAAUCAGUUAUCGUUUAUUUGAUAGUACCUUACUACUUGGAUAACCGUGGUAAUUCUAGAGCUAAUACAUGCUGAAAACCCCGACUUACGAAGGGGUGUAUUUAUUAGAUAAAAAACCAACGCCCUUCGGGGCUUUUUGGUGAUUCAUGAUAACUUUACGGAUCGCAUGGCCUUGCGCCGGCGACGGUUCAUUCAAAUUUCUGCCCUAUCAACUUUCGAUGGUAAGGUAUUGGCUUACCAUGGUUUCAACGGGUAACGGGGAAUUAGGGUUCGAUUCCGGAGAGGGAGCCUGAGAAACGGCUACCACAUCCAAGGAAGGCAGCAGGCGCGCAAAUUACCCAAUCCCGACACGGGGAGGUAGUGACAAUAAAUACUGAUACAGGGCUCUUUUGGGUCUUGUAAUUGGAAUGAGUACAAUUUAAACCUCUUAACGAGGAACAAUUGGAGGGCAAGUCUGGUGCCAGCAGCCGCGGUAAUUCCAGCUCCAAUAGCGUAUAUUAAAGUUGUUGCAGUUAAAAAGCUCGUAGUUGAACCUUGGGCCUGGCUGGCAGGUCCGCCUCACCGCGUGUACUUGUCCGGCCGGGUCUUCCUUCUGGAGAACCUCAUGCCCUUCACUGGGCGUGUUGGGGACCAGGACUUUUACUUUGAAAAAAUUAGAGUGUUCAAAGCAGGCCUUUGCUCGAAUACGUUAGCAUGGAAUAAUAGAAUAGGACGUGCGGUCCUAUUUUGUUGGUUUCUAGGACCGCCGUAAUGAUUAAUAGGGACAGUCGGGGGCAUCAGUAUUCAAUUGUCAGAGGUGAAAUUCUUGGAUUUAUUGAAGACUAACUACUGCGAAAGCAUUUGCCAAGGAUGUUUUCAUUAAUCAGUGAACGAAAGUUAGGGGAUCGAAGACGAUCAGAUACCGUCGUAGUCUUAACCGUAAACUAU